GUUAAGGAGGUGGAUCAGGAUACAUUUUAUCCUUGCCCUUAUCAAUCCUUCUUUUUGUAGCCUGAGAUUCUUCCGAAGAAGAUGGGCUUUUGGGCUCAUAUUUAGUGGGAGCCAGAGAAGGAGUUGGUCUAAACAAGGGAGAUGGAUUAAAGGAUAUCGGAGAAGGCUCAUAGGAAUAGUUGAAAGGGCCAAAAGGUGAAUAAGCAGGUUCAAGAGUUGGGAGGAAAGGAUUGUGAGACAUUUGGGUAGAAAAUGGGCUAUAAGCAGGUGCUUCUGCUGGCUUAUGAAGAUCUACUUCAACCUGAGCCAAUUGUUUCUUUAACCUCCUGAUCUCAGCUUCUUUCUGAGUAAAUUCCAUUCCAAAUCUUCUUUGGUUAAUCAAGGAUUUGAGAUCCUUGUCAAGCUGUGUAAUCUUCCCUUGUAGAUCUUUAUACAUGUUCUGGGCAAAUGUAAUGAAAGAAUCCACUUUGUGAUCGAUGUGCUGAGUCAUUGUAAGGACCUGAUCAAUCUUAGAGUCAAUCCUUUGUAAUGUCUUAUUUUGAAUUGCUGCAUUCUUUGUUUGCCAGUUCAGAACUUCUUAAGCUUGAGUGAUCGAGGUGAUUUGACCUUCAGUAUCAACCUUAGUUGAAUGAAUGAAAGGUCUUGUGGAUAUUUUAGUAUGUUGGUCUGUCUGCUGAGCAAGAGGGGGAAAAUUCGCUUUAUAAGUGGCAGAAGAGAACAUCAUGCAAGGCUGCACUAAUGGUAGUGCAGAAGGAGCAAGGGAAGGAAUAGGAGAAGACUGUUUC
rnacentral:misc_RNA from 1 species